ACGACCAUAUCACGUUAAAACACCGGUUUCUAUACGAUCACUGAAGUUAAGCAAUAUCAUGUCAGGUCAGUACCUAGAUGGAUGACUGCGUGGGAAUACCAGGUGCU